GCACUGCUGAGGAGUCCCACAAUAGGACGAAACGGCCGUCCACUGC
rfam:Schistosoma mattheei strain Denwood, Zambia genome assembly, scaffold: SMTD_scaffold0002154